CCCCUCUCAAGGUUGCACCUGGAGAGUUUCCAGUACUCUGCCAGUAUUGACUACGGGAGGGAAAGUUAAGCAGAGGCCUACUCAUUCCAUUCCUAGCUUGGCCAGUGGCUAGCAAGUAGAAGGCAAUCUGCUACAAGU
rnacentral:snoRNA from 1 species